CACAAACCUCGGAGCUGCUCAGUUACUGCAGUUAUCCUCAGCUUCCCCUCGCUACAGGGCUUCAGAAUAUUUACACAGAAACUGUCAUGGACCAAAAGAGGCGUGAGGCUGGCUUCAGGUGUGGCGAGGAUCGAGAAGGUGCUGAUCGCAGAGGAGAGAUCGCGUGUCGUGCGAUGAGGACGGCUAAAAAGAUG